CUUUCCUGAGAAUUUCUUGUAGGUCACACCCUGUAUUGGAGACAGUCUCAGACAGGUUACAGCACAGAAAUGAAGGCCCCCACUCAACUCCUCGUUCUUCUGCUCUUCUGGCUUACAGGUGCCAGAUGUGACAUUCAGAUGACCCAAUCACCAUCCUCCUUGUCUGUAUCUUUGGGAGAAAGUGUCACUAUCACAUGCCUGGCAAAUGAGAACAUUAAUGGGCAUAUAGCAUGGUAUCAGCAAAAACCAGAGAAACUUAAGCUCUUGAUCUAUGGUAUAAGUAUCUUGGCAGAUGGAGUUCCACCAAGGUUCAGCGGCAGUGGAUCUGGCACACACUAUUCUUUAAAGAUAACCAACCUGCAGCCUGAAGAUGUCACAACUUAUUACUGUCAACAAGUUUGGAGUACCCCACACACAUUGAUUCAAACCAUGUAA